UUGAAAUAAAUUGGCCGCAAACUCGUUAAACGAAUAAGUAAAUAGAUAAAAUGAGCACGAACGGUGAAGUUGAGUUUUUACCAAAACGCAAGCGCUACAACCCCCAAAAGCGUUGGGAAGUUGCCGAGGAAAAAGCGUUGAUUGAGUUCCUUCUAGAGAAUCGCGAUUUUGAGAAACUAUCGGGACGGCUAUUUUAUAAUCGCUUCGCGAAUGAGAAACAAAUCCUGGUCGAGUGGAAAUCAGCGCGCUCAAAAGUAAGAAAUAUGCGAUCUGCAUAUACAUAAUAGAGCGAAGGAAUUGGAAGGAAGUAUUGGAUGGCGAUACUAUAAAAGGCGUUUUGCUCAAAAAGUUUCGCUAUUUCUACGAAUUUGACGAUAUUUUCGGUGCCCGACUAAACGCUUGUGCUGUAUUUGAAGAAAUAAUGGAAAGUGCUGAUACUACCAUUGAAGUAUUAAGUCCUGUGCAAAUUAAAAUUCCUAUUGUAAAUGAAACAGUUACCACCCCAAGGCAAAGAGGAAUAUACUCCAAAACAGCGGCUUCCGAUAUUAUGCAAAUCCAUGGCGAAAUAAUGACAUUGCGAAAGCAAAAGUUAGUGGCAGAAUUGACUGCAAGGGAAAGAGAGUUCGAGCAAAAAGAAAAAGAGUUACAGUUAAAAGCUAAAGAAGUGAAGCUCAUAGAAAUUGAAAUAUUAGCGCUAAAAGACAUUGUUUAUGCGACUUCAUGGCAUCUCGCCCCUCCACACAACUAAGCAUUCAUCACACAACUCACACUCAUCACACAACAUAACAUUCAUCACACAACUCACACUCAUCACACAACACAACAUUCAGCACACAACCUACAUAUGUACAUCAUCAUACACGCAACCCCACGCAACAAAAACGACCUACAAAAUAAAUGUAAUGAAUGACCUACAAAAUAAAUGUAAUGAAUGCAUAAAUGGCCUACGCCAAUGGUUUUCUUCCAAAAGUUUGGAACUGGCCGAGCACAAAACAGAGGUAUUGCUCAUAAGCACCAGGAAAAUUGAGGAAAAAAUAACUCUCACCAUAGGAGAGUGAGUAAUUACUUCACAACCACAGUUGAAGUAUUUAGGGGUAAUAUUGGACGCCAAACUGAAAUUCAAGCAGCACUUGGCAAACAUAGCAAAUAAAGCAAACAAGA